rnacentral:rRNA from 1 species
AUGUUGCCGCCGCCUCCACCCUCGUUGCCUGUGGGCUUCAAGCCGGUUGACGUCCCGCCGCCAUCCCUAUCGUCUUCCCGGUCAGAUCCGGAUCGGGACCUCCUGCUUCCGCCGCCGCAGACGACGACGCUGGACCUGCCCACCCAGCUUCGUGCCGUGCCCAUGGCGGUGCUGGUGAUGCCUCCGUGCGAGCUCGUAGCGCCCACAUCACCGAAGCUCCCCAUGCCCGCGGCUACCGGCAACUGCCCAGCUCCGGCGCCGGCCACCGCGACACCGACGCCACCCAUGCCCGCGGCAGCUGGUGGCUGCCCCGCUCCGUCGACGACGGCUGCUGCUGUCGACAUCCUGGUCCCCGUGGCGGCUCCGUCCCUCCUCCAGCCGGCCGCGCCCGGGAGCUCGCGUCCAUCGCCACCGAGCUCGCUCCCCUCCGAGCCAGCGCCCGUGGUCCCUCCCGCAUCGACGUUCGCCGCCGCCGCACUAGCCGCGGCUGCACUUGCUUGCCGCAGAUCGGACCCGGCCAUCGGAGGGCAGAAGGCUCGUUCCCAGGAGGGCCUGGAUACCUUUGCUUCGCCGCCUGCUGGACGCCCUUGCCUGCCCGGCGGCCAACCUCCUGCACUCGUUGCUCCUGGUUGGGGGGAUUGGCGUGGAUGCUUCCAUCGUGAUGAGGCGGCUGAUGUUCUCGAGCGUGAGCAAGGGGGAUGGCAGACUGUCUCGAAGGGGCGCUGCUCGCCGCCUCCUGCAGCUUUUGGUCGCCCUUCCAUCAAUGUGCGGCGUUCCCCUCCGACGUGGCUGAGAGACAGGUGUUUCCGGUGUCUCCGUCGAGGUCAUCGCGCAUACUCCUGCAGGGAUCCAAUCCGAUGCACUGACUGCCUUCGAUCUGGACAUAUCGCUCGCUUCUGUCGUGCUAAGAAGCCUGUCCACCAAGCUUCGCCGCUCCAAUGUCAUGCUCCAUCGGCUGCUUCCACCGGUGAUGUCUCCAUGAUAGAUGUGCAGAUCCCGUCUAUCUCGGCUGAGCAUGUCGGGUUGGUGGAGGAGACCAAGAUGCUUCGCACUGAGCUUCACGACUGCCUUGCGCGUGCCGGCAGUGUUUUGGGGAGGGCGGAGGCUGCUCUUGCCAAACUAGAGGUGGUGCCGAAUGUGUCUUCGCUGCCUGAGCUUCAGAUUGGGGUUGUGCCUGAUGUGUCCCUACUGCCCGAGAUCCAGGUUGUCUCUGUCGAUGGGGAAGGUGGCAUGUAUGGAGAUCUCUCCCCUCGUGCUACAGUAUGUCAGUUGCCGCUGCCUGUCAUGCCGAUUCCUUCAGGGAGUGAACUCAUUGUUGAGGUCGUGACUCCGGUGCUGCGGAUUAUGUCUGAGCUUCAGAAGCUUUGUGGGGAGCCCACUUUGCCUAUUUCGAUGGUGCUUCCCGAGGAGAUAGGGUCUCUUGGAGGGGACUUGGCGAUGCCGACUGCGACCUCAUCGUUUUCAUUGGAGCCGAGUCAGCCGCUUGCCUUUGUGGACCUUGGAGGUUUGGCGGCUGCUGCUGCUCUCUCACCUGAGGUUGUUGGCCCGGUGGCGUCUGUUGGUGCUGAGUUUGAUGAGCUUGGCCGCUUGCUCACCAGCUUGGAUGCAGCUUGUCCUGGGUCUGCCAAGACGAUUGCUUGCCUCCUAGCGGAGGAGGUUUCUACGGGCAAAAUAAAGAAGGUGAAGAAGGCUAUCAGGAACAUAGGCAAGAAGACUGACGUUAUUAGGAAGGCGUCCGCGACUGCUUAA